CUUGUCUUUUAAAUGAAGACUUGUAUGAACGGAAUUACCUUUCUUAACUGUCUCCCCUGCUUUUUUCUGAAACUCGUAUUUAGGUGAAGAACCCUAAAUAACAUAGAAAGACGAGAAGACCCUGUCGAGCUUCAGCUAAAAAAGGAAUCUAAGUAAAACUCCCAUAUCCUACUACAGCUUUGGUUGGGGCAACCACGGAGAAUAAUAAUCCUCCGGAAAUUGUGGAAGAUAAAUCUCUUCCCCACACACGAAAAAAGAACCAGAAUCUGGAAAACGGAAAAAGCUACCGCAGGGAUAACAGCGUUAUCUCCUCCAAGAGUUC
rnacentral:rRNA from 1 species